rnacentral:sRNA from 1 species
GAGGAGAGGAUUGUGUAAUGAUUUGUUGGCAAAGUGCCAGUUAACAAAUACUUUAU